rnacentral:rRNA from 1 species
GAUGAACGCUGACAGAAUGCUUAACACAUGCAAGUCGAUGGGGAAGUGGUGCUUGCACCAUGGCAACCAUGGCGGACGGGUGAGUAACGCGUAAGGGACUUACCUGCAGGACUGGGAUAACAGGGGGAAACUCCUGACAAGACCGGAUAAUGUCAUGGAGCUGCAUGGCUUUAUGAUGAAAGGAGACGCCUGCGGAGAGCCUUGCGUCCUAUUAGCUAGUUGGUGAGGUAAUGGCUCACCAAGGCGAAGAUAGGUAGCCGGCCUGAGAGAGUGGACGGCCACAAGGGGACUAGAUACGGCCCUUACUCCUACGGGAGGCAGCAGUGGGGAAUAUUGGACAAUGGGGGCAACCCUGAUCCAGCAAUUCUGUGUGCACGAAGAAGGUUUUCGGAUUGUAAAGUGCUUUCAGCAGGGAAGAAGUAAGUGACGGUACCUGCAGAAGAAGCGACGGCUAAAUACGUG